GUGGGGGGGGGGACCCUCCAUUGAGAUGAAUGCAGCUUCACAGAGGAUCGCCAGAUAGGCAGAGGCAAGGCAGGCUGGGUGGAGGCAGUGGAGGGCAAUUUUCUCCCUGUCAGAAUUUUUCUGCUUUUAACAGCUGUGUGAUAGGCAGCACAGGAAGUAUUCCUUGUCACUGCACCUUAAUGCUUGGGAAUAGAUUCUCUUGUUGGAUUUCUGCCUGUCAGACAACUGCCAAAGGCAUUGAAACCCUGUCAGGAACAGAUAACGACCUUAUUGGAGGUCAGCUGCCGAAUUCAGGAAAUCACCAAAUUUCAGCAGCCAGUUCUGAGGCUCACCACCAAGAAUCUGGGGGAGGACACUUGGGGCUGCUUGCCAAGAACUGCAAAAGGCUACAGCCCUAAACAGAAUCUAUUGUGGAAGUGGGCUGAAGCCACCCACCUGCCCUCAGGUCUGUGCCAGAAGGAAAAGGCUGAGUUGUUUGAGUCUGGACACACACACACACAGAAAGAAACAUUUAUGUUUUAAAGUAUGUUUGAUCUAAGAUCGUAAAUAAACAAC